GAUGAACGCUGGCGGCGUGCCUAACACAUGCAAGUCGAGCGGCAGCGCGGGGUGCUUGCACUCUGUCGGCGGGCGGCGGACGGCUGAGUAACGCGUGGGUACGUGCCUCAAAGUGAGGAAGAAAUGCCGGAAAGGGAAGCUCAUACAGCAUACAUACUACGGAUCAGAGGAUUUAUCCGAUCUAGGAGCGGGGCGCGACGGAUUAAGUCGCUGGUGUGGUAAUGGCUCACCAAGGCGACGAUCCGUAGCUGGUCAGAGAGGCUGACCACCCAGUCUGGCACUGAGCCGCGGUGCAGAAUCCUGCGGGAUGCAGCAGUGCGUGAUCUAGCACAAUCGGCUAAAGCCUGAUGGAGCUACGCCGCUUGAAGGACGAAGUCCUUCGAGUUGUAAACUGCUUUUAUAAGUGGGUAAUAUGACGGUAACUUAUGAAUAAGGAUCGGCUAACUACGUG
rnacentral:rRNA from 1 species